AUGACAUAUCUGCUCGGAGUUCCAUGUCUCUCAGUUCCAACCCUUCCAGCCUCUGUGAGAGGAGAGCACCAGAAGAGCAAGGGAGUGAAGUGUUCCUUGAUUAGAAAAGCCAAACGAGGAGACAACAGGUCUGGAAGGGCCUUGUCCUCACGGGAUUCACAGAAGCGAAAUGGGGUGAUGGGCAGAAGCUGUACUGCUGCCUACAGCAACAGAAUGCAAGUGACUCAGAGACAAAGUUUGCGGACAGAAUCUUCUGCAUUUGGGAGUGCAGUUAUCUCAGACAAAUAUAAAACCCUACAAAUGCAAAGCCCCGUCAAUGGCUUCCUCCUGCUAAGGUGACUUUCUGUCAUACUUACUUUCAUCUACUAUUGUGGUUAAAAUGCCAAGGGCUAAUUUUAAUACCAGCUUAUAAGACAACCUAACAGAUUGCUUCCCAACUUUUUUUUACCUGAAAGUAUACUUUUAUUUGUUUCCUCUCACAAUCUACCAGCUUUUAAAGAUUUUUGUGUACUUAAACUGUAUCUAAAAGCUCAUAAUUAAUUUUUCAUUUUUAUUUGUUUUUUGAAAUUCUGCUUGUCAGUUUCUAAUCAGAAAAUGAUAAGCUGUUACCCUAAGAUGUUGUGUAGUUGCAGCCAAGAGCAGAGAAACAUAGCAUUAACCCUGUGGGUGUUGAUCAUCAGAAAUACAUAUGACUGUAAUUAGGGUCUUUGAAAUACGGAAAGCAGCUCCUAGGAACUUACGCUGGGCUGGAGGAGGGUUAAGUCUGAGAAUCACAUCAGGCUGCACACUGGGACCAACUGGGCAGCUUAAAACACUGGGGCUUAAACCCCUUUCAGACCAAGUAAAUUAAAAUUUCUGGACCCUGGAGAGAUUUCAAUGCAUGGUUAGGAUGAAAACCACUAACAGAAAGGUUGGCGCUAUAGUGUAGUAGAUAAAGCCACUGCCUGCAGUGCCAGCAUCCCAUAUGCUGCUCCAUUUCUGAUCCACCUCCCUGCUAGUAUGCAUGGGAAAACAGUGGAAGAUGUGCACUCAAUGUGGCAGUCCCAGAAGAAGCUCCUGGCUCCUGGCUUCAGAUCAGCUAAGCUCCCACAACUGCAGUCAUCUGGGGAGUGAACCAGCAGAUGGAAGAUCUCUCUCUCUGUCUCUUCUUCUCUCUCUCUCUCUCUCUAACUCUGUCUUUAAAAUAAAUAAAUAAAUCUCUUUUUUUUACUUUUUUUA
rnacentral:lncRNA from 1 species